UGUUUGCUGUUUGUCCUCCCAG
rnacentral:miRNA from 1 species